rnacentral:lncRNA from 1 species
CACGAUCCCUAUUAUUGAAAAUUCAAACGACCACGUCCAGACAAACAGCUGACGGUGCGCACGACUUUUGGAUCGCAAGAAUAUUGGUGUACCCAGACGCUUGUCCCCGAGAAUUCAAGCCCCGACUGCUCUGCCGUCACGUACAGCAAUUACGAGGCCAACGAGGAAGACGGGCCAGGGCGCUCGAGUAUCACGUGAUAAACUUAGUCCGACUAGCUGGUAUAGUUUGGUGAGGUUGCCGUAGGCCCUGGGCACUCUCAUAUAAAAAUUUUAUUUCAUAGCCGCCAGAGGCCAUCCAGACGAAGAAAGGUACAAAUUAAAUCAUAAAAUAACCAACUGUUGGAAAAUAUUCUGUUGAUGAAAGCGAUAACGCAAGUCAAAUAAAUCUUCCCCAUUGUUGUUUGUGGUUUUGGCAACAAGACAUUAGCCAAACCCGGUCACAGGGCUUCGCAGUGUUGUCAUUUCAUUUCUGUUUGUGAGUUUCAGCUGAUUCUUGGAUUGCCAGUUAACAGGUUAUUAUUACUUAUUGGCAUGUUAUAAAUACAUCGUAUAAAAUACCAGUUUUUAUAAUGUAUCGUUUGCUAAAUUGGGAGUUUUUCAACAAGAAAACAAAAUGGAAAUGGCUGCUCCAGUUACAUUGACGAUUGAAGAACAGAUGGAUAAAACUAUUUGCAAAGUUUGUUCAACAACAUUUUCUAAGUUUUCCAAUUUAGCAACUCAUAUAAAAAGAAAGCACCCAGAACAAAUUGACAUAGCUCCAAAGAAAGCAAGAACUGGGUCAUAUGUAUGCGAAGAAUGUGGAGAAAGAUUUAUUUGUUGGUUAAAAUAGUAACUAUUGUAAUUUUUUUAACAAUUCAUCGAAGUUUUGACAAUAGAAAAUUGUCCAUGAUCAUAUUUAUUUGUAAGUAACAUUAGAGAUAUUACACCUAAAAAAUCAAAUGUGCUUUGUGUGAUAAUUUAAGUGCUAACAAAGCAGAUAUUAUGCUCCAUUACAACAGACAUCAUGACAUCGCUGUGCAUAAUGAAUAUUUAGAGUUUGAUUCACUGCAUGAAUUCCACCUUUGGAAAGGAAAGAUUGAGAAACGAACCUUAUCGUCUUUUGUGAAUAAGCAUGACAUUAAAAAAGCAGCAAAUUCUAACAAAAUUAAAUACGAAUGUCAUCGUUCAGGGAAGUUUAAAACCGAAGGCAAGAAUAUUCGGUUUCUGAAGCAUCAAGGCAGCAAUAAAACAAAUGGUUUCUGUCCAGCUGAAAUGGAAAAGUGGUGUUUGGAGAAACCAAAUGUUCAGUUCAGUUUUGUAAGACACAUGUUAGACAUCAACAAGACAGAGACCUAGAACAUCUUUUUCUUUCAAAAACCGAUAGAGAAAAAAAACUGACAGGAUUUCUGCACAAAUACCAUUCCAAAGUAUUCAGGAUACAAUUAGAUUAGACUUGAACAAAUUCACCUUUUACAGAAACAGGACUUAUAUAAUAUUCAGAAGUCAUUCAA